AACUUUAAACAAUUAAAUGUUUGAGUAACAGUACUUGCUCUCAUUGUCAAGCAGUGUUUUAUUUCAACAAUUGCAUUGCACGAGUCUUUGUUUAUUUUAAGACUAUAAAUAUUUAUUUUGACAACUUAAUAACAUAACUUCGCUUUACUGCGAAUAAACACCAGAGAUUAUAAAUAUAAAUUGUUUUGAUCUCUUUUAAUCUCUUGAUGGUGACUGAAAAUUAUAGAAAUAAAAAAUAAAGUUUCCAGAGCACCUAUCAGCUCACAUUACUCCGGAAUGGAGAAAACAAUAAAUCAGUUAUGAGGAAAUGAAAGCUAUGCUCUAUGCCAGCCGUUGAAGAAGCGCCGUUUGCAGAAAGUGUGGAACCAGAGGUUAUUUCACGACAAUUUGCUUCCUUUGAUGAAGUUUUUUUUACGUUUUGUGAUCGUGAAUUAAAAAAAAAUUAACACAUUUU